rnacentral:rRNA from 1 species
UACGUAGGGGGCGAGCGUUGUCCGGAGUUACUGGGCGUAAAGGGCGCGCAGGCGGUCUGGUAAGUUUGGAGUGACAGUGCUCGGCUUAACUGAGCAAGGCCUUCGAAAACUGCUAGACUUGAGCACUCAAUAGGGACAUAGAAUUCCGGGUGGAGUGGUGAAAUGCGUAGAUAUCCGGAGGAAUACCAAAGGCGAAGGCAGUGUCCUGGGGAGUGUCUGACGCUCAGGCGCGAAAGCUAGGGGAGCGAACAGG